UACGUAGGGCGCAAGCGUUGUCCGGAAUUAUUGGGCGUAAAGAGCUCGUAGGCGGCUUGUCACGUCGGGUGUGAAAGACCGGGGCUUAACCCCGGUUCUGCAUUCGAUACGGGCUGGCUAGAGUGUGGUAGGGGAGAUCGAAUUCUGGUGUAGCGGUGAAAUGCGCAGAUAUCAGGAGGAACACCGGUGGCGAAGGCGGAUCUCUGGGCCAUUACUGACGCUGAGGAGCGAAAGCGUGGGGAGCGAACAGG
rnacentral:rRNA from 1 species